rnacentral:rRNA from 1 species
GACGAACGCUGGCGGCGUGCUUAACACAUGCAAGUCGAACGGAAAGGCCCUGCUUUUGUGGGGUGCUCGAGUGGCGAACGGGUGAGUAACACGUGAGUAACCUGCCCUUGACUUUGGGAUAACUUCAGGAAACUGGGGCUAAUACCGGAUAGGAGCUCCUGCUGCAUGGUGGGGGUUGGAAAGUUUCGGCGGUUGGGGAUGGUCUCGCGGCUUAUCAGCUUGUUGGUGGGGUAGUGGCUUACCAAGGCUUUGACGGGUAGCCGGCCUGGGAGGGUGACCGGCCACAUUGGGACUGAGGUACGGCCCAGACUCCUACGGGAGGCAGCAGUGGGGAAUAUUGCACAAUGGGCGGAAGCCUGAUGCAGCAACGCCGCGUGCGGGAUGACGGCCUUCGGGUUGUAAACCGCUUUCGCCUGUGACGAAGCGUGAGUGACGGUAAUGGGUAAAGAAGCACCGGCUAACUACGUG